rnacentral:rRNA from 1 species
GACGAACGCUGGCGGCGUGCUUAACACAUGCAAGUCGAGCGGUAAGGCCCCUUCGGGGGUACACGAGCGGCGAACGGGUGAGUAACACGUGAGCAAUCUGCCCUUCACUUUGGGAUAACUUCCGGAAACGGAAGCUAAUACCGAAUACGUCCACUUCCGGCAUCGGAUGGUGGUGGAAAGUUCCGGCGGUGAAGGAUGAGCUCGCGGCCUAUCAGCUUGUUGGUGGGGUAACGGCCCACCAAGGCUUCGACGGGUAGCCGGCCUGAGAGGGUGACCGGCCACACUGGGACUGAGACACGGCCCAGACUCCUACGGGAGGCAGCAGUGGGGAAUAUUGGACAAUGGGCGAAAGCCUGAUCCAGCAACGCCGCGUGAGGGAUGACGGCCUUCGGGUUGUAAACCUCUUUCAGCGGGGACGAAGCGCAAGUGACGGUACCCGCAGAAGAAGCACCGGCCAACUACGUGCCAGCCGCCGCCGUAAUAC